ensembl:lncRNA
GUUUAUAAUAUUAAAUUGAAGUUAAUGGGUAGACUAUAUUAUGUAUAUGUUUUGUGUUACCAUUGCACUCAACCUUUACUAACAGAUUAAAUGGAGUGGUAGGAACCAGGAAGGAGCAGGGACAACCGCCGGUGAAGAGGUGGAACAAGUUAACAGCUACCUCUCUCGUUGUGCCCUUACGACAAAAUAUAUGUCGAAAGCAGACUUGUCAGAGGCUCCUGGAUGAGACUGCAAUGCUAGCAGAGCUAAAAACCCAGCUACAUCUCUCAGAUGAAAUGGUGUCACAGUGGAUCUCAGAUGUGAUGGAAUGGGCAGCUGGUGAGACACGAGAUGCAUCUGACAACCUGCAAGGCACCACACACACAGGGCUUCAGCGGUCCAUUGAGGGGCUCUACCUCAGUGUGAGGC